GAUGAACGCUGGCGGCGUGCCUAAUACAUGCAAGUCGAGCGAACAGAUAAGGUGCUUGCUCCUUUGACGUUAGCGGCGGACGGGUGGGUAACACGUGGAUAACCUACCUAUAAGACUGGGAUAACUUCGGGAAACCGGAGCUAAUACCGGAUAACAUAUUGAACCGCAUGGUUCAAUAGUGAAAGGCGGCUUUGCUGUCACUUAUAGAUGGAUCCGCGCCGUAUUAGCUAGUUGGUAAGGUAACGGCUUACCAAGGCAACGAUCCGUAGCCGACCUGAGAGGGUGAUCGGCCACACUGGAACUGAGACACGGUCCAGACUCCUACGGGAGGCAGCAGUAGGGAAUCUUCCGCAAUGGGCGAAAGCCUGACGGAGCAACGCCGCGUGAGUGAUGAAGGUCUUCGGAUCGUAAAACUCUGUUAUCAGGGAAGAACAAAUGUGUAAGUAACUGUGCACAUCUUGACGGUACCUGAUCAGAAAGCCACGGCUAACUACGUG
rnacentral:rRNA from 1 species